rnacentral:miRNA from 4 species
UGUGCGCAGGGAGACCUCUCCC